UUCGAGCGUCAUUAUAACCACUCAAGCCUGGCUUGGUAUUGGGGCUUUCGCGUGUUCGCGGCCCUUAAAAUCAGUGGCGGUGCGUCUGGCUCUAAGCGUAGUAAUUUCUCUCGCUAUAGGGUUCCGGUGGUUACUUGCCCAAAACCCCCCAUUUUUUCUAGGUUGACCUCGGAUCAGGUAGGGAUACCCGCUGAACUUAA
rnacentral:misc_RNA from 1 species